GUAGUACUCCCUCCGUCCAGAAUUACUUGUCGCAAAAAUGGAUAGAAAUGAAUGUAUGUAGAACUAAAAUGCAUCUAGAUACAUUCAUUCCUCCGACAAGUAUUUCCGGACGGAGGGAGUACUAG
rnacentral:pre_miRNA from 1 species